rnacentral:rRNA from 1 species
UACGUAGGGUGCAAGCGUUGUCCGGAAUUAUUGGGCGUAAAGAGCUCGUAGGCGGUCUGUCGCGUCGGCUGUGAAAAACUCGGGGGCUCAACCCCCGAGCCUGCAGUCGAUACGGGCAGACUAGAGUCCGGCAGGGGAGACUGGAAUUCCUGGUGUAGCGGUGAAAUGCGCAGAUAUCAGGAGGAACACCGGUGGCGAAGGCGGCAUCCUGGACCGGUAUUGACGCUGAGGCGCGAAAGCCAGGGGGAGCAAACGGGG